rnacentral:tRNA from 1 species
GCCGAGGUGUUGGAACUGGCAGACAAUGUGGACUUAAAAUCCACCGUCCGCAAGGGCAUGAGGGUUCGACUCCCUCCCUCGGCA